rnacentral:rRNA from 1 species
UACGUAGGGGGCGAGCGUUGUCCGGAAUUAUUGGGCGUAAAGCGCGCGUAGGCGGUUACUUAAGUCGGAUGUGAAAGCCCUCGGCUUAACUGAGGAAGUGCACCCGAAACUGAGUAGCUGGAGUACGAAAGAGGGUCGCGGAAUUCCCGGUGUAGAGGUGAAAAUUCGUAGAUAUCGGGAGGAACACCGGUGGCGAAGGCGGCGACCUGGGUCGACACUGACGCUGAGGCGCGAAAGCGUGGGGAGCAAACAGG